rnacentral:rRNA from 1 species
UACGAAGGGGGCUAGCGUUGCUCGGAAUCAUUGGGCGUAAAGGGUGCGUAGGCGGCGCGGUAAGUCGGGUGUGAAAUCUCGGAGCUUAACUCCGAAACUGCAUUCGAUACUGCCGUGCUUGAGGACUGGAGAGGAGACUGGAAUUUACGGUGUAGCGGUGAAAUGCGUAGAUAUCGGAAGGAAGACCAGUGGCGAAGGCGGGUCUCUGGACAGUUCCUGACGCUGAGGCACGAAGGUCAGGGGAGCAAACGGG